rnacentral:rRNA from 1 species
GUAGGUGGCAAGCGUUGUCCGGAAUUAUUGGGCGUAAAGCGCGCGCAGGCGGUUCUUUAAGUCUGAUGUGAAAGCCCACAGCUCAACCGUGGAGGGUCAUUGGAAACUGGAGAACUUGAGUACAGAAGAGGAAAGCGGAAUUCCACGUGUAGCGGUGAAAUGCGUAGAGAUGUGGAGGAACACCAGUGGCGAAGGCGGCUUUCUGGUCUGUAACUGACGCUGAGGCGCGAAAGCGUGGGGGGAGCAAACAGGAUUAGAUACCCUGGUAGUCCACGCCGUAAACCGAUGAGUGCUAAGUGUUAGGGGGUUUCCGCCCCCCCCUUAGUGCUGCAGCUAACGCAUUAAGCACUCCGCCUGGGAGUACGGCCGCAAGGCUG